rnacentral:misc_RNA from 1 species
UCUCCGUUGGUGAACCAGCGGAGGGAUCAUUGCUGGAACGCGCUUCGGCGCACCCAGAAACCCUUUGUGAACAUACCUAUAACUGUUGCUUCGGCGGGUAGGGUCUCCGCGACCCUCCCGGCCUCCCGCCUCCGGGCGGGUCGGCGCCCGCCGGAGGAUAACCAAACUCUGAUUUAACGACGUGUCUUCUGAGUGGUACAAGCAAAUAAUCAAAACUUUUAACAACGGAUCUCGUGGGUCUGGCAUCGAUGAAGAACGCAGC